rnacentral:rRNA from 1 species
UACGUAGGGGGCAAGCGUUGUCCGGAUUUAUUGGGCGUAAAGAGCGUGUAGGCGGCCAGGUAGGUCUGCUGUGAAAACUCGAGGCUUAACCUCGAGCUGUCGGCGGAAACCAUCUGGCUAGAGUCCGGAAGAGGAGAAUGGAAUUCCAGGUGUAGCGGUGAAAAUGCGUAGAUAUCUGGAGGAACACCGGUGGCGAAGGCGGCAUCCUGGACCAACACUGACACUGAGGAGCGAAAGCCAGGGGAGCAAACGGG